AUUCCAGCUCCAAUAGCGUAUAUUAAAGUUGUUGCAGUUAAAAAGCUCGUAGUUGGAUUUCUGUGAGAGUGCCGGUGUCGGCUGAUGCUUGUACGCAGGCGCUCUUACAUCCUUCUGUUAACUGUUCUUGGCAUUUUAUUGCUGGUUCAGGGCUCAGAUAUUUUACCUUGAGAAAAUUAGAGUGUUUCAGGCAGGCUUAUGCCGGAAUACAUUAGCAUGGAAUAAUGGAACAGGACCUGUGCGUCUCUCGGGGCGCCGGUCUCCGUUGUUGGUUUCGGGGACUAAUGUAAUGAUUAAUAGGGAUAGUUGGGGGCAUUAGUAUUUAAUAGUCAGAGGUGAAAUUCUCGGAUUUGUUAAAGACUAACUUAUGCGAAAGCAUUUGCCAUGGAUGUUUUCAUUG
rnacentral:rRNA from 1 species